AUCCCGCUCGGCGCCCUGACUCCUGCUCCCCUCACCGCAUCGUCCCUGCCCAUUUCCCUCCUCGGCACACUCCCCUGCGAGCUCCAGCUCGGUUUCUUCUCCCUUGCCGCUCGGUUCUUGCGUCUUUCCCCUGUGCGCUCGACCUCCGGCUCCAGCGUCGAGCUCUGCUUUGGUGUAUUGGGAGGUUCGAGUGGCGCUGAUGGGUUCUCUGCUGGCACACCUGGUGGUGGUACCUUGCUGCUAGGAGGUAGCGACAGCUUUGGCAACAGUAACGUUGGUGCUCGCCAGGCGCUCAACAAAACACCUGAAACCAAAGUUCGUAUAGUACCUGUCAAGCGCUCGAUAAAUUGUCUGCAUCGGAAAAUCAUUAGCAACCUCGCGGAUUCGAGUCAAAUAUUGAAAUGACAACCCAAGUCGACCCCAAGCGCGGGCUAAUCCGUAAGAUGAUGUUGAUGGACGAACCGGAAGAUGGAUAAUCUGAACGAGUGCGUGCCAGGACAAAGGAUGGUCGUCAAGUGGACGUCACCUAACAACACUAACCUAGUGUUACCCAGG
rnacentral:misc_RNA from 1 species